GAUGAACGCUGGCGGCGUGCCUAAUACAUGCAAGUCGAGCGAACGGACGAGAAGCUUGCUUCUCUGAUGUUAGCGGCGGACGGGUGAGUAACACGUGGAUAACCUACCUAUAAGACUGGGAUAACUUCGGGAAACCGGAGCUAAUACCGGAUAAUAUUUUGAACCGCAUGGUUCAAAAGUGAAAGACGGUCUUGCCGUCACUUAUAGAUGGAUCCGCGCUGCAUUAGCUAGUUGGUAAGGUAACGGCUUACCAAGGCAACGAUGCAUAGCCGACCUGAGAGGGUGAUCGGCCACACUGGAACUGAGACACGGUCCAGACUCCUACGGGAGGCAGCAGUAGGGAAUCUUCCGCAAUGGGCGAAAGCCUGACGGAGCAACGCCGCGUGAGUGAUGAAGGUCUUCGGAUCGUAAAACUCUGUUAGUAGGGAAGAACAUAUGUGUAAGUAACUGUGCACAUCUUGACGGUACCUAAUCAGAAAGCCACGGCUAACUACGUG
rnacentral:rRNA from 1 species